UGAAGAGAAUUGAGGGGGCUA
rnacentral:miRNA from 1 species